UUGAAAUUCACAUCCCGCUCACAUUUUUCUCUCACUAUUCUUUCCUCUUGUUAAAGAGAACCCCUAAAUUGAAAAAUUUGUUUGUCUUGAAGAUUUUCGUUCUGAAAUCGUUGUUAGAGGGCUACAAUCGAAUGGAGAAGACACUCAGAGGUCUAGGUUUUAUCAUAAUCGAAAAAAGGGUGAAGUGAUGUGAAGAACUGGGUUUCGAUCCGAGUUUCAAAGGUUCUGUUCCUAAUUUUAGUUAGGGUUUAUAAUAAUCUUGUUCCAGAUUUAUGAUUUAUUGAGUGCUUUCCAAUGUAAGCAAACUGAAGAUACAACAACCAAGCUUGAUCUGGACGGGCUUGUUGUUAUUGGUGAAGAUGAUUCAACACAAAUACAUUCCUUCUUACUGAAUAUUGUAGCUAAUUUAUUUAUCUUAAUGAACUUCAAUACUUGUUGAUUAUUUUUCUUCUCUGUGUUUAGAUUUUUUUAAUAUAUACCCUACAAGAGUAAGAAUUUGAAGUCUCGAGCCAUUGAUGCCGAAAGAGCAUUAAUGGGGACUGAAAUGUAAAUUAAGAAGCACUUACAAAUUUUGGCUUUGAUACUGCCUAUAAGGUAAUUUCUUUUAUGUCCUUCAUUUUCAUGUCAUUGUUAUAUACUAAUGCUUCAUAUUUUGAGUUACAAGUAUUAAUGAAGUUGACAUGUGCGGAUCUUUGUUGAAAAGAUGGGAAAUGUUAUGAUAGAUGCCCGAUCAAUAGGAAAAUAUUCAUUGUAAGCUUAUUAGCAUUUUACAUUCAUUCAUAUGCUUACGGGUCUGAACCGUGAUUGAGUUUUCAACCAUUUAACUAAAAGGGAAAGCCAUGGACUUAGUAGCUUUGUUUGUUUGAUGGUUCAUCUGGUAGUUGAUGUAAGAAUCCAUGGACUUCAUGCUUCUGAUUUAUUGAUGCCUUAAGUGUUUUGUGUAACUGGAUUGUUCCUUGUUUAGCCAAUAAUGUUAAUUUCAUCCUGGUUAUAAAAUAAGAAGUUGAUGACAUAUGUGUUCAUGGAAAUGAGAAUUUUCAUGCUGAAGAAGACAUUACAAUGAACGGCGGCGGCGACAGAAGGGCGGUGAUUGGCAGUGGUGUUGAGCUCCAGUAACAGCGGCGAUCUCAGGUAAGUAUGGUUCUCUAGAAACGACUUCAUCUCAAUUGAGACUGCAUUUUUAUCAUCGAUGUCUGCAGCCUUCUCAUUUUCUCUUUUGUUUUGUUUACAGGUUGAAGAGUAAAAACUUGCAUUAGAUGGAAUUGUAUGUGAAAACAUUUGCUAUAAGAUUGCUCCAUCUAUAUAUUGUCAUUGGGUUUGUCUUUUAUUUAGAGGUUCACAUUUCUGGAAGGAGUAUAUGUUAGUCACACGGGUGCUAUGUUGGAUGUUAUUUUGGCUAAAGAAGAGAAUAAAGAAACAUCA